rnacentral:lncRNA from 1 species
AGGUGGCGCUCAGGCAUUUUUCAACUACACGAUGUGGCAAUGGUUCAGAGGUUGACCACAGCAAUCCGAUUUAGGAGCUAGGCAUUAUAAUCAUAAAUGCAGAUUUAUGCCCAGUGAACUACAGACUAUCUUUACUAUCUAAGAGCCUGAACACACUCAGAUAAAAUGUGGCUUUAUCUCAAGAUGGUGGGUGAAUAUAUGAAGUACCUCUUCUUCUUCUCAAAAUAUUAUUGAAUGUGGAGGGAAUGUAAAUAAGUAUAAAUAAGAAUAACUGCAUUGAAAAAAAAGGCAAACAGGAUAGAUUCCAUCACUGAACCAUCAAAUGAUUCCAUUUGAACCAUCAAUGAACUUCUGGAAGAUGCUAUGCAGACAGAAUCAGAUUGAAGGCGAAAUCCAUGAGACCAAGAAGUCCCAAAACACAACCCAGUGGAAAGAGGAAAUGACACCGUUCUCCUCCCUUAUGAAAGGGAGGUGAUGUGGAGUAAACACCAGCCCCAACAUAUGAUGACACAAUCUAAAUCUUCAAAAUAUUAACUUGAUUUCCAGAAGGGGAAGCAGAUGUAUUUUGUUUUCUCCUCAGUCCUUCUGUGAUUCUACAAGUUGAGCAAUAUCUACAUGUGAAAAUGACUUUGACUGUUUCUUUUAUUCCUCUACACUAGAUUUUUUUGUUGUUUCGUUUGUUUUAUGAGAUAAGAUCUCCCUCCGUCACUGGAGCACAGUGAUGUGAUCACAGCUCACUGCAACCUUGACCUCCUGAGCGCAAGCGAUCCUCCCACUUCAGCUUCCUGAGUAGCUAUAACUACAGGUGCAUGCUACCAAGCCCGGCAAAAACAAAAAACAAAAACAAAAAAACACUGGUGGAUACAGUGUCUUACUACGUUGCCUACGCUGGUCUUGAACUCCUGGCCUCCUAGUUUUAGCCUUUUUCACAGUUUGUGCUUCCCUGACCCUUUUCACUCCCUGAAAUCAGAACGUGAUUAUGUUCUGCCUGACUUUAUUUUGCUUAUUACAGAUUUGUUUUCAGGCCUAUGCCAACCACAUCUCUCCAAGCUCUAUUUUUUUUUCAGUUCCACAAAGCAAAAUGUGACUGAUAAAAUGAUGUGCAGACAAGCAAAUACAGAGUUGGGGUGACUCGUAUAAAUAUAUUUCAGUUUUUAAAUAGUAGAAAUGCUGCCCUUUUUUUUCUUGCCUCCUUUGCUUCCUAAUUUACACAGUGCAGUUUGUUUUUUAAGACAUAUUUUUUGGUGCAGUUUUAGGUUCACAGUAAAAUUGAGCAGAAGGUGUUAAAAUUUCCCAGGUUCCCACACCUACAUAGCCUCCUCCACUAUCAAUAUCUCCUACCAGAGUGGUACAUUCGUCACAAUCAAUGAACCUUCAUUGACAUAUCAUUAUCACCCAGAGUCCAUAGUGUACACCAGAGUUCAUUCACUCUUGGUGUUGCACUUUAUAUGGGUUAAAGCAAAUUUGUAAUGACAUAUAUCUGCCAUUAUAGCAUCAGAAAGAUGAGUUCCACUGCCCUAAAAGUCCCCUUUGCUCUGCUUGUUACACAGGGCAGUUGUUGAGACAAAGCUUCAGGUACUCAGAAAUUUUUUUCUUAUGUCUUCAUUUUUUUAACUUAGUGGAGAUUUUCACUUUGAUAUAGCUGAUCAUGUGUUAGGUAAGGAGGAUAGCUCAGAGCCUCACUCCCCAAAUGAAAGGACCUCAAGUGUAUCAGCUCCUGAAAGGGGGGAUUCUUUAGUGAGUACAGAAUCCCGAUGGUGAUACAUCAGUCCUUUCAUCUCUUCUGCACUUUUCCAGCCCUUUGGUUCUCAGGAAACUGCCAUCUCUACUGUUGAGGGCAAGUUUCCGAUCCACAUGGGCAUGUUCCAAGUUUUUUUGUUUGUUUCUAGGCAUUGUAUUCUUUUUCAAUUUUUAAAAAUGUGUUUUUUGACAUGAGGUCUCGG